rnacentral:rRNA from 1 species
UUAAGCAUAUCAAUAAGCGGAGGAAAAGAAAAUAACAAUGAUCCCCUAGUAACGGCGAGUGAAGAGGGAAAAGCUCAAGUUUGGAAGCUUCGUGGCAUAGCUACGACGCGUUGUAAACUGAAGUUUUUUGGGUGAUUGGGCGACCGGAUAAAUAAGUCCUUUGGAAAGGGGCAACAUAGAGGGUGACAUUCCCGUCUUUGGUCCGAGUCAGUGCAGUCGCUACCCAGGAAACGACGAGUCAGGUUGUUUGGGAAUGCAGCCUAAAAUGGGAGGUAAAUCUCUCCUAAAGCUAAAUACUGGCGUAAGACCGAUAGCGAACAAGUACCGUGAGGGAAAGAUGAAAAGGACUUUGAAAAGAGGGUCAAAUAGUACGUGAAAUUGUUGAAAGGGAACCGUAUGAAAGUAGACUGGCUUGGUGAUGAUCAAUGUGUGUUUCGGCACGCAUGCACUCAUUGCCUUUGCCAGCCAGCGGCAGUUUUUGCUAAAGGAAGAAAAUCAGGGGAAUGUGGCUUCGAUUUCGGUUGAAGUGUUAUAGCUCCUGGUAAAAUACUUUGGCAGAGACUGAGGCUAGCAGUGGGUUUUUGGGAACUUUGCGCGCUUGUCGUCCAAUGGUCAAGUUUUCUUCGGAUGCUUGGUUAUUGGGUGGCAACUCGUGUGAUGCUUCACCCUCCCGCUUAGGUCGCUGGCGUAAUGCUUUUAUAUGACCCGUCUUGAAACACGGACCAAGGAGUCCACGUAUAGAGCGAGUCGUUGGGUGGCAAACCCAAAGGCGAAGUGAAAGCGAUUGGGAAGAAACUGUUACAGGUGGCACUCCCGGGGGGAUAUGACGUUUUAUACAGAUUGACCUCACCCAAAGCUCUAUGCAUGGGACCCGAAAGAUGGUGAACUAUACUUGAAUAGGGUGAAGCCAGAGGAAACUCUGGUGGAGGCUCGUAGCGAUUCUGACGUGCAAAUCGAUCGUCGAAUUUGAGUAUAGGGGCGAAA